UUAGACCGGUGCGGAGGUGGUGCGGAGCGAGUCGACUUUGGACUACUCUCUUAGCGUGGCGUCGCGCGAGGCUGCGGCGGAGCCUCUGUCAGGAAGGCGGGAGCUUGACAGCUUCAGUAAAGACCAGCAGCGGUGACAGCAACCCGGAGUCAUGAGCGACAGCGGCGAGCAGAACUACGGCGAGCGGGAAUCCCGUUCUGCUUCCCGAAGUGGAAGUGCUCAUGGAUCGGGGAAAUCUGCACGGCACACACCUGCAAGGUCUCGCUCCAAGGAAGAUUCAAGACGUUCUAGAUCAAAGUCAAGAUCCAGAUCUGAAUCUAGGUCUAGAUCCAGAAGAAGUUCUAGAAGGCAUUAUACAAGGUCACGAUCACGAUCUCGCUCUCAUAGACGAUCCCGGAGCAGGUCUUACAGCCGAGACUAUCGCAGACGCCACAGCCACAGCCAUUCUCCCAUGUCUACUCGAAGGCGUCAUGUUGGGAACCGGGCAAAUCCUGACCCCAACUGUUGUCUUGGAGUGUUUGGAUUGAGCUUGUACACCACAGAAAGAGAUCUAAGAGAAGUGUUCUCUAAGUAUGGCCCCAUUGCUGAUGUGUCUAUUGUGUAUGACCAGCAGUCUAGACGGUCAAGAGGAUUUGCCUUUGUAUAUUUUGAAAAUGUAGAUGAUGCCAAGGAAGCUAAAGAACGUGCCAAUGGAAUGGAGCUUGAUGGACGUCGGAUUAGGGUCGAUUUCUCUAUAACAAAAAGGCCCCAUACCCCAACACCAGGAAUUUAUAUGGGGAGACCCACUUAUGGCAGUUCACGACGCCGGGACUAUUAUGACCGAGGAUAUGAUCGGGGUUAUGAUGACCGGGACUAUUACAGCAGAUCAUACAGAGGAGGAGGUGGAGGAGGAGGUGGAUGGAGAGCAGCUCAAGAUAGAGAUCAGAUUUACAGAAGGCGGUCACCUUCUCCUUACUACAGUCGUGGAGGAUACAGGUCUCGUUCUCGAUCAAGAUCCUACUCACCUCGUCGCUAUUAAAGCAUGAAGUUGAAGACUUUCUGAGACCUGCCAUAGAGCUGGGAUGUUGUUUGUGGACAAUAUUUUCUAUUGUCUCCUGUUUAAAAAGUGAACAGUGCCUAGUGAAGUUAGGUGACUUUUACACCUUUUAUGAUGACUACUUUUGGUGGAGUUGAAAUGCUGUUUUCAUUCUGCAUUUGUGUAGUUCGGUGCUUUGUUCAAAGUUAAGUGUUUUCAGAAAAGUAUGUUUUGCAUGUAUUUUUUUACAGUCCAAAUUUUGACUGCUGAGAAGUUUCUAUUGUACAAAACUUCAUUUAAAAGGUUUUUCUACUGAAUCCAGGGUAUUCUGAAGAUCAAAGCCUGUGUGUAAAAUGCUACCAGAUGGCAAAAAGUAACAAUAAAGAAAUUUGAUUUUUACUUUUCUUUCUAAAUAUCAAUGCUUAACAAGAACCAUUCUUAAGUUAUCAGUAAAAAAUAAAUAAAUAAAAAUUUUCUUUCAGGAGUCCAUGAAACUUGCCAUAUUCGAUAUACCUGCAAUUAAGUGUUAAAAAUACGCUGUAACUCUGUACUGCUAGUAUUAGAACAAGAAUCUUUCCAUACAGCUAAUGCUUAAUGCUUACAUUAAUGUGGAUUUGUCGGCCUUUAUGUAAUCUGUAUUAUAUAUAGCAGGGGAUAAGAGCUACAGAUAGAUACAUGCCUUUAAAAGGCUGUUUCUUAAGGCUGUUACAAGGAGAUAAUGGUAUUUCAACUAAUCAGCAAGUGACAAUACAUUCCACCACAAAUGUACUCUUGUUCUUCUAGCCUUUAGACUAUGAAAAUACUGGGUGCUUCAAAGUAUGGAAUGAGAGAAGGGAUCACCACACCUGUGUCAUGGAUGAAGACUGCCUGUUCAUUUUUUAAAUAUGAUUUUCAGGUCCUUUGCUUACCAAAGGAAGCCCAAUUCACUCAAAUGUUUUGAGAACUGUUUAAAUAAACAAGCAAGAAAAAUUGCUGAUGCAACUUGUUUUAC
rnacentral:lncRNA from 1 species